GCAACUGGUAGGCCUCGGUGGCAGGGCUCUGUGUUCAUCUGAUUGAGUGUGUUUGACUCUGUGUUCAUCUGUAGGAUGGACCCAAAAACAAGCUUCAAUUUAGAAUUCAGGAUAUUCGCUACAAAAUCACGUUUCCCAUGGUUUUUGCACACUGAGCUUGUAGAUUCUGACAUUAUGAAUUACAAAGAUCUGCUUGAUGAAAUCAUGAGGAAGUACCCUUGUUCUUACGGGGAGGUGGUGAAAAUGUAUUAUUACUGUGCUGAGUCCAAGUCCAACAUUGAGGUUUGCUGUGAUGAAGACCUAGUUAAUAUGUUUCAGAAAAAUGCAUCCACUAAGACAUGUCAUAUUUCCAUUGCUCACUAUGACCCUAGUACUGAACCACCAGCCAUACCACUAUGGGAUGUAACAUAUGCUAAGGCAGUGGAAAUCCCUUGCACAUCAUCAAUGCCAGCUCCAACUCAAUCUUUAGAUGAACCAAGCCAACAACCAGAGGAUGAUGACAAGUACCUGCAAAACCCUGAACCAGAAAAUGAAUAUGUUGGUGUCGAUGAAGAAGGCAUGUACAUUGACUUAGGACCACAGGUUCAGGGAAAUGCAGACCAAGAGGAUGAGUAUAUUCCUGAGACUGACUCUAACUUGGAUUCUAACUUUGAAUCUGAUGGUUCUGAUGAUGAGAUGGUGGAGGAUAAUGUUCCACCCCACACAGCCGAAGCAGUGUAUGACAAAGCUGACCCACCUAUGGAAGUAGGAAGCAUAUAUCCAAACAUGAAUGCAUUUAGAUUGGCUUUAGCUACUCAUACAAUCAAGAAUGAGUUUGAAAUUGACAUUGAGAAGAGUGAACCAGGGAGGUACAGGGCUUACUGCUGUGGGAGAAUUGAGGGUUGUAAGUGGAGGAUUCAUGCUUCAACUAUGGGAGACAAUAAGACAGUGAAGGUGAAGAAGAACCCACAUCUGCAUGAGUGCCAUAGUACAAGGAGAAAAGGUCAGGUGAAGGGUGCAACCAAACAUUGGGUUGCUGAUACAGUGAGAGAUUGGUUAGUGGACAAUCCAAGGUUGACUCCAAAGGCCCUUCAACAGAGGAUAAAAGAUGAGUUCAAGCACCAAGAAUGGUUUUCCCUGAUCUUGGCCUCACACCUCCAGUUACAAAGAAGAAAAAGAGCUCAUCCACUACAUCAAAGGCUGCCAAGAAGAAGAAGAGCUCAGCCAUGUCUGUUAGAUCUGGACAAGGCUCCAACCAGCCAGACCCUAUGCCUUUGUCUAUCAUGAUGCCAUCAAUGGAGGUUGCAGACAAGGAAGAGAAUCAAGAAACAAAAAAAGAGGUGGCAGGACAUGGGAAGAAAAAUAAGAGAGAGCCAGAAGUCAUCGGAUCUCCUGCAAUGGGAACUAGAAGCAAAGCCAGUUGCAGUGGCAGUCCUGCCAUGGGAACUAGAAGCAAAAGAAAGCUCAAUGUCUAAUUGGAACUAGGUAGUCUUUUGUACUAUUUUUUGGGUCUACUUGACUAGAAUUGUGUUAAUGUAGUGCUGUGGUCUGUAUGACCAAAACUGUGGCAUUCUAUGACCAAAACUGUGAUGCUAUGGUCUGGAUGGCCAAAACAUUGAUGUAUGGUCUGUAUAACCACUUGUGUUUUCAAUUUGCAUUACUUUGCCAUACAUCUGGACACUGUUUAUGCCAUACAUGUGGAUACUGUUUAUGUCAUACAUCUGAAUACUGUUUAUGCCAUACUGGGCAUUGGUUCUAGCACCAAGGUUUGGCGCCAAAACCAGAGCAGAGGGUCUGCCUCCUGUGGCAAGAAAGGGAAGAUCCAAUUUCUUUUUCACGGACCAAACCAGGGGCACACUGGUCCUUUCGUAAUCCUGUUACCAUCCGUUAGCACUAAAUGGGACGGCAGUGGUUUAAACGGGAUGAAAAAUCUUGGACAAUGGCAUGGGACGAACGGUAGAAAUUCCAGUGGUUCAUAUGGAAUUUGGAUCUUUUAUAAUGGUCGCAAAGGAAUUGACUCUAUUUCUUCACUCAUCUGUCUCACACAGAUUUCUUUUCACGGUCAUCCUCAUCUACUGCCGCCAUUCUCUGAUAUUUUUCACCACCGCGUACAACCGGAGAUUUUAUCCUGUGGCCGGUUCUAUAUCUUCCAGAUCGUUGCUUCUCCCUGCCUCUCCCCAUUGCCGACGUUCUUCUUCGUUUUGCCGCUGCUGGAGCUCUGGGUCCAUGCGCGCAACCUCCUCUGUGUCGCGCCUGAUCCAUCUCCCUUGUUGUGCGCUCCUCUGCCGGUGGUGGCUGCCGCGGGCUCUCCCUGGCUCGUCGGCCUGCAGCUCGCCCAGCCCAGGGCCACGGGCUACAGCCGUUCGUCUCCCCCCGAGCUCCCUGUUUCUCUGCGCUGUUUGCUCCCUCUCUCUCUCUUGUCUUCUUCCCCGCGCGCCGGCUCCCUGCGUCGCGAACUCCACAUCCCAUCGCCAAGCCGUGUCCUAGCUUCCUGUUGCCGCUCCCUAUGGCCGAGCCCAACUCCUUGCCGUGCGGCUCCCUACUCGCUCCGUGUUGCGCGCUCUCCUUGUAUUCAUGGCGGCCACUUCCUGCUAGCCGUGCGCGCGCUGGCCGGCGUUCGGUGUCUGGCUCGCCGCGCGUCCAAGCCUCUCCUUCCUCCUCCUGUAGCUCGCCCUGUACGUCUUGCUCACCCUCCAGCUCGCUUGGUCCCUGCGCGCGUCGAACUUCUGCUCGGCGUCCAGCUUCUCUGUUUCCUGACCCGCGCGACCAGCCGAGUCCGACUCCGCCGUGAGCUCGUCCCUGGCGCUCGACGCGCAGUGGCGCAGCUCGCGGAGCUCUCUUGUCGUGGCCGUCGCGUCCCUGCGCCUAGCCUUUAGUUCAGUCUCUAUGCGCGCGAAGCUCGCCGGUGUGCUGCUAGUCUAACUUAGAUCUCGCCCAUGGCGUCGAUCUAUCCGUCCUACCGUCGCUCAGCUCGUGCGCGCCCUGUGUAUUUUUCCUGCUUGGCAUACUCCCUCGCUGGUGGGCGAGCAUCUCACUCAUGGUGCCCAGCUCGCGUCCACCUCCGUUGAUUGUUGACAUCGUGCGCUCGGCUUCUCUGGCGCCGAUUCGCGCUCGCUCAUGUCCAUCGUCGUGUCAUCGCUGCUCGUACCCCGCUUGUCGGCCACCAUAUCCAACUUCCACAGCAACGUUGUUGUUCUCUCUUUGGUGCUCGUUGCCGACUCCGCUACCUGUUUGAACUGGAGUUCGUCGUCAUCUUGCCCAUGCCGUGACCGCAAUUUCCUGUAUCCCUUGUCCACAUCAUCGUUCAGUUCCCUCGCUUCGACGCCAGUCCCUACGUGAUGCCUUCAAAUUGUGAUCGCGCGGACAAAAGGAUCCCCAAGAGAAGAUGUCCAAAGAUCGGAUGGUGGUGUACGUGAAGUUCGUGUGGCCCCUGCCAAGCGCUCGACAAAUUGCCUGGAUCGGAAAAUCGCUACCGAUCUCACGGAUUCGUGUCAGCUGUUGAAACGGUAAGC